UAGGACGUGUCGCUCCUGAUUGGCUGC
rnacentral:piRNA from 1 species